rnacentral:misc_RNA from 1 species
GCAAACUUGGUCAUUUAGAGGAAGUAAAAGUCGUAACAAGGUUUCCGUAGGUGAACCUGCGGAAGGAUCAUUAACGAAUGUCGAGUCGGCCGACCGUGCUGGCGGAAACGCAUGUGCAUGUCGGUCGCAAACAUCCACACACCUGUGAAUCUAUGGCCUCGGGUCUUUUGAUCUGGGGCAACUUUUUUUACCCACUCUGUGUAAAAGAAUGUGAUUGCGUAAAUGCAAAGUAACAACUUUCAACAACGGAUCUCUUGGCUCUCGCAUCGAUGAAGAACGCAGC